rnacentral:rRNA from 1 species
ACUCCUACGGGAGGCAGCAGUGGGGAAUAUUGCACAAUGGGCGCAAGCCUGAUGCAGCCAUGCCGCGUGUAUGAAGAAGGCCUUCGGGUUGUAAAGUACUUUCAGCAGUGAGGAAGGUGGAGUUCGUUAAUAGCGGCUCAUUGAUCGAUUGAGCUUGCAGAAGAAGACACCGGCGUAACUCCGUGCCAGCAGCCGCGGUAAUACGGAGGGUGCGAGCGUUAAUCGGAAUUACUGGGCGUAAAGCGCAUGCAGGUGGUUUGUUAAGUCAGAUGUGAAAGCCCGGGGCUCAACCUCGGAAUAGCAUUUGAAACUGGCAGACUAGAGUACUGGUAGAGGGGUAGAAUUUCAGGUGUAGCGGUGAAAUGCGUAGAGAUCUGAAGGAAUACCGGUGGCGAA